UGCCCCAGUAACGGCGAGUGAAGCGGCAACAGCUCAAAUUUGAAAUCUGGCCCCCAGGGCCCGAGUUGUAAUUUGCAGAGGAUGCUUUUGGCGCGGUGCCUUCCGAGUUCCCUGGAACGGGACGCCAUAGAGGGUGAGAGCCCCGUCUGGUCGGACGCCUAGCCUGUGUAAAGCUCCUUCGACGAGUCGAGUAGUUUGGGAAUGCUGCUCUAAAUGGGAGGUAUAUGUCUUCUAAAGCUAAAUACCGGCCAGAGACCGAUAGCGCACAAGUAGAGUGAUCGAAAGAUGAAAAGCACUUUGAAAAGAGGGUUAAAUAGUACGUGAAAUUGUUGAAAGGGAAGCGCUUGUGACCAGACUUGGGCCCGGUGGAUCAUCCAGCGUUCUCGCUGGUGCACUCCGCCGGGUUCAGGCCAGCAUCAGUUCGCCGCGGGGGAAAAAGGCUUCGGGAACGUGGCUCCUACGGGAGUGUUAUAGCCCGUUGCAUAAUACCCUGGGGCGGACUGAGGUUCGCGCUCCGCAAGGAUGCUGGCGUA
rnacentral:rRNA from 2 species